rnacentral:misc_RNA from 1 species
AAGUCGUAACAAGGUUUCCGUAAGUCUACAACCCUAACCCCUAUUCAAUGUGAAUCGUAACUAACAACCUCAUAGGUAGGUGAACCUGCGGAAGGAUCAUUACCGAGAUAGGGUCCCUAAGGGCCCGAACCUCCCACCCAUUGUUUACUUACCUUUGUUGCUUUGGCGGGCCGCGGAGCGUCAGCCCCCCGUCGACUUCGGUGGACGAGCGCCCGUCAGAUGCCCCAUUCAACUCUGUUAAUUAAUGAAGUCCGAGUCUUAAUAAAUUUAAGCAAAACUUUCAACAACGGAUCUCUUGGU